rnacentral:rRNA from 1 species
CGUGUAGGCGGCUCAUCAAGUCUGGUAUGAAAUCGCAGGGCUUAACCCUGCAUAUGCGCUGGAAACUGGUGGGCUUGAGUUCUUGAGGGGAAGCUGGAAUUCCAGGUGUAGGGGUGAAAUCUGUAGAUAUCUGGAAGAACACCGGUGGCGAAGGCGAGCUUCUAUCAGAGGACUGACGCUGAGGCGCGAAAGCGUGGGGAGCAAACAGGAUUAGAUACCCUGGUAGUCCACGCUGUAAACGAUGUGCACUAGGCGUGGGGCACGUACGUGUUCUGUGCCGUAGUUAACGUGUUAAGUGCACCGCCUGGGGAGUAUGCUCGCAAGGGUGAA